rnacentral:rRNA from 1 species
ACGGCAUAUCUCACUCCGCAGUUAGCGUGCUUGGGCGAGAGUAGUACUAGGAUGGGUGACCUCCUGGGAAGUCCUCGUGUUGCAUUCCC